rnacentral:rRNA from 1 species
CCCUUAGAUGUUCUGGGCCGCACGCGCGCUACACUGAUGCAUUCAACGAGCACCCGCUGGGCCGAGAGGUCCGGCUAAUCUUUGAACGUGCAUCGUGCUGGGGAUAGAUGAUUGCAAUUAUUCAUCUUCAACGAGGAAUUCCUAGUAAACGCAAGUCAUCAGCUUGCAUUGAUUACGUCCCUGCCCUUUGUACACACCGCCCGUCGCACCUACCGAUUGAAUGGUCCGGUGAAAUUCUCGGACGCGGACAAGCGAUGUUCAUUCGGAGCUUGACUGUGAAAGUUAAUUAAACCUUACCAUUUAGAGGAAGGUGAAGUCGUAACA